rnacentral:tRNA from 1 species
AGCGGAGAAAAGCAAGGAAAGACAAGGUCUACCUCGUGUGAGCCAGCGCUGCUGCCGGGAAUCAUAAUCCGCGUGUCGGGGGUUCGAGUCCCUCCUCCGCUG